GUCUCUUUGAAGACAUUUAAUAAAAUUGGAACGAUACAGAGAAAAUUAGCAUGGCCCCUCCGUAAGGAUGUCGUGUAAAUUGAGAAAUGGUCUAAAUUUUU
rnacentral:snRNA from 1 species